CCUACGGGUGGCAGCAGUGAGGAAUAUUGGUCAAUGGCCGGAAGGCUGAACCAGCCAUGCCGCGUGAAGGUCAGUGCCCUAUGGGCGUUAAACUUCUUUUGUGCGGGAGCAAUAAUGGUCACGUGUGGCCCGACGAGAGUACCGUACGAAUAAGCAUCGGCUAACUCCGUGCCAGCAGCCGCGGUAAUACGGGGGAUGCAAGCGUUAUCCGGAUUUUUUGGGUUUAAAGGGUGCGUAGGCUGUGAGGUAAGUCAGCGGUGAAAUGCCCCCGCUCAACGGGGUGAAGUGCCAUUGAUACUGCCUUGCUGGAAUGCGGAUGCCGUGGGAGGAAUGUGUGGUGUAGCGGUGAAAUGCAUAGAUAUCACACAGAACACCGAUUGCGAAGGCAUCUCACGAAGCCGCGAUUGACGCUGAUGCUCGAAAGCGUGGGGAGCAAACAGGAUUAGAUACCCCAGUAGUC
rnacentral:rRNA from 1 species